rnacentral:rRNA from 1 species
AGUGAACGCUGGCGGUAGGCCUAACACAUGCAAGUCGAACGGCAGCACAGUAAGAGCUUGCUCUUACGGGUGGCGAGUGGCGGACGGGUGAGGAAUACAUCGGAAUCUACUUUUUCGUGGGGGAUAACGUAGGGAAACUUACGCUAAUACCGCAUACGACCUACGGGUGAAAGCAGGGGUUCUUCGGACCUUGCGCGAUUGAAUGAGCCGAUGUCGGAUUAGCUAGUUGGCGGGGUAAAGGCCCACCAAGGCGACGAUCCGUAGCUGGUCUGAGAGGAUGAUCAGCCACACUGGAACUGAGACACGGUCCAGACUCCUACGGGAGGCAGCAGUGGGGAAUAUUGGACAAUGGGCGCAAGCCUGAUCCAGCCAUACCGCGUGGGUGAAGAAGGCCUUCGGGUUGUAAAGCCCUUUUGUUGGGAAAGAAAAGCGGCAGGUUAAUACCCCGCUGUUCUGACGGUACCCAAAGAAUAAGCACCGGCUAACUUCGUG